rnacentral:rRNA from 1 species
AUUGAACGCUGGCGGCAGGCCUAACACAUGCAAGUCGAGCGAGCGGCGGACGGGUGAGUAAUGUAUUGGUACUGCCCGAUAGAGAGGGAUAACUACUGGAAACGGUAGCUAAUACCGCAUACUAUCGGAUAACCCAUAUGGUUUUAGCUAGUAGGUUAGGUAAUGGCUCACCUGGGCGACGAUCCCUAGCUGCGCUGAGAUGAUUCUCAGCCACACGGGGACUGAGACACGGCCCAGACUCCUACGGAGGCAGCAGUGGGGAAUAUUGGACAAUGGGAGCAAGCCUGAUGAAGCCAUGCCGCGUGUAUGAAGAAGGCCCUAGGGUUGUAAAGUACUUUCAGUCGGGAGGCGUUACCGACAGAAGAAGCACCGGCUAACUCCGUGCCAGCAGCCGCGGUAAUAC